rnacentral:rRNA from 1 species
UCUGGAAACUGUNUGACUUGAGUGCAGAAGGGGAGAGUGGAAUUCCAUGUGUAGCGGUGAAAUGCGUAGAUAUAUGGAGGANCACCAGUGGCGAAAGCGGCUCUCUGGUCUGUCACUGACGCUGAGGCUCGAAAGCGUGGGUAGCGAACAGGAUUAGAUACCCUGGUAGUNCACGCCGUAAACGAUGAGUGCUAGGUGUUAGGCCCUUUCCGGGGCUUAGUGCCGGAGCUAACGCAAUAAGCACUCCGCCUGGGGAGUACGACCGCAAGGUUGAAACUCAAAGGAAUUGACGGGGGCCUGCACAAGCGGUGGAGCAUGUGGUUUAAUUCGAAGCAACGCGAAGAACCUUACCAGGUCUUGACAUCCCGAUGCUAUUCUUAGAGAUAGGAAGUUACUUCGGUACAUCGGAGACAGGUGGUGCAUGGUUGUCGUCAGCUCGUGUCGUGAGAUGUUGGGUUAAGUCCCGCAACGAGCGCAACCCUUAUUGUUAGUUGCCAUCAUUAAGUUGGGCACUCUAGCGAGACUGCCGGUAAUAAACCGGAGGAAGGUGGGGAUGACGUCAAAUCAUCAUGCCCCUUAUGACCUGGGCUACACACGUGCUACAAUGGUCGGUACAACGAGUUGCGAGCCGGUGACGGCAGGCUAAUCUCUGAAGGCCGAUCUCAGUUCGGAUUGGAGGCUGCAACUCGCCUCCAUGAAGUCGGAAUCGCUAGUAAUCGCGGAUCAGCACGCCGCGGUGAAUACGUUCCCGGGCCUUGUACACACCGCCCGUCACACCACGAGAGUUUGUAACACCCGAAGUCGGUGAGGUAACCUUUUAGGGGC